UGAGUAAUGCUUGGGAACUUGCCUUUGCGAGGGGGAUAACAGUUGGAAACGACUGCUAAUACCGCAUAAUGUCUACGGACCAAACGGGGCUUAGGCUUCGGCGCAGAGAGAGGCCCAAGUGAGAUUAGCUAGUUGGUGGGGUAAAGGCUCACCAAGGCGACGAUCUCUAGCUGUUCUGAGAGGAAGAUCAGCCACACUGGGACUGAGACACGGCCCAGACUCCUACGGGAGGCAGCAGUGGGGAAUAUUGCACAAUGGGGGGAACCCUGAUGCAGCCAUGCCGCGUGUGUGAAGAAGGCCUUCGGGUUGUAAAGCACUUUCAGUUGUGAGGAAAAGUGAGUAGUUAAUACCUGCUCACCGUGACGUUAACAACAGAAGAAGCACCGGCUAACUCCGUGCCAGCAGCCGCGGUAAUACGGAGGGUGCGAGCGUUAAUCGGAAUUACUGGGCGUAAAGCGCACGCAGGCGGUUUGUUAAGCUAGAUGUGAAAGCCCCGAGCUCAACUUGGGAUGGUCAUUUAGAACUGGCAGACUAGAGUCUUGGAGAGGGGAGUGGAAUUCCAGGUGUAGCGGUGAAAUGCGUAGAUAUCUGGAGGAACAUCAGUGGCGAAGGCGACUCCCUGGCCAAAGACUGACGCUCAUGUGCGAAAGUGUGGGUAGCGAACAGGAUUAGAUACCCUGGUAGUCCACACCGUAAACGCUGUCUACUAGCUGUUUGUGGCUUUAAGCCGUGAGUAGCGAAGCUAACGCGAUAAGUAGACCGCCUGGGGAGUACGGCCGCAAGGUUAAAACUCAAAUGAAUUGACGGGGGCCCGCACAAGCGGUGGAGCAUGUGGUUUAAUUCGAUGCAACGCGAAGAACCUUACCUACACUUGACAUGCA
rnacentral:rRNA from 1 species